GAUGAACGCUGGCGGCGUGCCUAAUACAUGCAAGUCGAGCGAACAGACGAGGAGCUUGCUCCUCUGACGUUAGCGGCGGACGGGUGAGUAACACGUGGAUAACCUACCUAUAAGACUGGGAUAACUUCGGGAAACCGGAGCUAAUACCGGAUAAUAUAUUGAACCACAUGGUUCAAUAGUGAAAGACGGUUUUGCUGUCACUUAUAGAUGGAUCCGCGCCGCAUUAGCUAGUUGGUAAGGUAACGGCUUACCAAGGCAACGAUGCGUAGCCGACCUGAGAGGGUGAUCGGCCCCACUGGAACUGAGACACGGUCCAGACUCCUACGGGAGGCAGCAGUAGGGAAUCUUCCGCAAUGGGCGAAAGCCUGACGGAGCAACGCCGCGUGAGUGAUGAAGGUCUUCGGAUCGUAAAACUCUGUUAUUAGGGAAGAACAAAUGUGUAAGUAACUAUGCACGUCUUGACGGUACCUAAUCAGAAAGCCACGGCUAACUACGUG
rnacentral:rRNA from 1 species